rnacentral:rRNA from 1 species
CCCUGAUGCACAAGGUACCUUAUAUGUACUAUUCUAAUUUUAAAAAUUUUUCAAAAUUUUCAUUUAUCCUUUACAGUUAAAAAAUCAAUUUUUCUUUGAAUAAUACAACAUUAAAAUAUAAUUUUUACUUUUUUCUUUAUUAUUUAAUUAUUUGUUUAAAAU